rnacentral:misc_RNA from 1 species
UGGCUCUAGCAUCGAUGAAGAACGCAGCGAAAUGCGAUAAGUAAUGUGAAUUGCAGAAUUUAGUGAAUCAUCGAAUCUUUGAACGCACAUUGCGCCCUUUGGCAUUCCGAAGGGCAUGCCUGUCCGAGCGUCACAAGUCCAAUCAAGCACGUCUUGGUGUUUGGCCGUGCGGGCUCCCGCAGGCCGCAAAGUCUCACAGUGGCCCCGCGCAGCCUCCAGCGUUAUAACUACGCUCGCUGUCAGGCGCAGCGGCCGUCGCUCGUCAACCCCUCUCAGGAUGACCUCGGAUCAGGUAGGGUUACCCGCUGA